rnacentral:rRNA from 1 species
UACGUAGGGUGCGAGCGUUGCCCGGAAUUACUGGGCGUAAAGAGCUCGUAGGUGGUUUGUCGCGUUGUUCGUGAAAACUCACAGCUUAACUGUGGGCGUGCGGGCGAUACGGGCAGACUGGAGUACUGCAGGGGAGACUGGAAUUCCUGGUGUAGCGGUGGAAUGCGCAGAUAUCAGGAGGAACACCGGUGGCGAAGGCGGCACUCUGGGCCGGUACUGACGCUGAGGAGCGAAAGCGUGGGGAGCGAACAGG